GGAAACAGAUGCUAAUACCGGAUAACAACAGAUGAUGCCUAUCAACUGUUUAAAAGAUGGUUCUGCUAUCACUCUUGGAUGGACCUGCGGUGCAUUAGCUAGUUGGUAGGGUAACGGCCUACCAAGGCGAUGAUGCAUAGCCGAGUUGAGAGACUGAUCGGCCACAUUGGGACUGAUACACGGCCCAAACUCCUACGGGAGGCAGCAGCC
rnacentral:rRNA from 1 species